AACGCACCUUGCGCCCCUUGGUAUUCCGAGGGGCAUGCCUGUUUGAGUGUCAUUAAAUUCUCAAACUCACAUUUAUUUGUGAUGUUUGGAUUGUUGGGGGUUGCUGGCUGUAACAAGUCGGCUCCUCUUAAAUGCAUUAGCAGGACUUCUCAUUGCCUCUGCGCAUGAUGUGAUAAUUAUCACUCAUCAAUAGCACGCAUGAAUAGAGUCCAGCUCUCUAAUCGUCCGCAAGGACAAUUUGACAAUUUGACCUCAAAUCAGGUAGGACUACCCGCUGAACUUAA
rnacentral:misc_RNA from 2 species